GUGUGUGUAUUCGCGCGCGCGCCUGUGUGUAUAAUGUUAAAGGUUCUUUUUUGUUUUCUUAAAUAGCAACAGCAACCAUUUGCAAGUUCAGCGCCCUGGCAGACAAGUGUAGUCCUUAGCUUUCCUGCCCUCAAAAUAUAGCGAUAUGCAUAAUUUCUUCUAAAACCGGGGUUGGGUCCCGUCUGAAGCUAGGAAAAGCCAAAUCCUCUUACUCCUUCCCACCAACACGCAGUCUGUCCUCCUUUCCCUCGCUUUCAAAAAAUUUGCUCUGCUUUUGUGGAAGACUGGAAUUUCGGCACCUCUGAAGGGAAAGACCUGGUUGAUAAAACCAAUGGCUCUUCCUGCUGUGGUCCAUGAAACGCCUCCAGAAAAUCUGCAAGCACAACCUUCUGCCAUUGUCUUCAUCGACUGCUGUGUAUUCAAUGGUUUACUGAACAAUUUUGCAGCUAUGAUGCAUAUUCAUUUGGCUCAGGUGUGUGAAUUUUUCUUUUCUUCAGGCCAAAAAUCACACUUGCUCUUUGGUGAGCUGGGGCUGCCCUCCAAAAUGUAGGGAGAGCCAGGAUAAGUAUGUGGAUAGGCCAGGAAAAAAAGAAAAAAACCCAUUAAAUAUAUUUAAUUGUAUUUACUAUGACUAAAGUCAACGUUAUCCUCUCUAAGCCCCAUGAAAGAAUGGGGUGGUCAUCAGGAUUUGGUGGCAACUUUGUUGGAAGAAUUUGGAGACCACAUCCUAAGCUUGUGGGUGGUCAUGUGCAGCCAUAGGAUGUGUCCAGCACGUGCUCAGAUUUGGAUAGAAAAAUUAACUGAGUGCCCAUUCAAUCUGAUUCAAUGAGCAAUGAACUUACAAAAGUUCCUAAACGCUGCCAUAUUCUCUGAUAAAUUGGACGUGGAGCACCAUCUAAUUACACAUAACAUAUGGCAGAGAGGAUAAGAGAAAAGGGAUGGGAGAGAAUGCCAUUCAGGCUAUGAAUAGAUUAGUGUUGUCUGUUAUAACUCCAUUAAAAAUUGAGUGCAUGGUAAUGCUGAGCUAUUCUAAGUGCAGAUAAAUUUUAGAAAAGGUUAAGUGCAAUAUAUCUGAUUGCUGACAAUGGAGCUCCUAAUUCAUACAAGGAAUGGAGACAGUGUCUUAGAAAUGGGAAGAUUAUAAUCCCUUGGACUUUUCUAAAAUUAUAGAUUGGGUAAGUAAAUCAUCCGUUAAAUGGCAAUCUAAUUUGAAAGGUAUACAUUGAAUCAAAUUAACAAGUGCACCUAAUUAGGCACAGGAGUUAACAUAACGAAGCUUCCCAUGAUUAGCGUAUACACACACAGAUUUCCAUUGGACUAAUCAAGGCAAUGUUCUUUAUUAGCAGAGCUAAAGUGGCCCAUAUAGGAGAAGGUUGCCAAAGGUCAUGGGAAACCAGGUCCCUACAGCUUGAGGGCAUGAUGUGGGUUGGAGAGCCAGCAGCAACUAGAAAAAUGCAGAGUCAGGCAUUUGGAAACCUAACAACCAUUCUAGUUUUUGUGUCAUGAGGCUAAAUAACCAUCGCUAUAAUUACGGACCAGACACAUCGAAGUGAUUAGGAGGGAUAGAGUGACUCCAUCUGAGAAAUACUACAGCAGCUGUGGGCUUUUCAGCCCGGAACUGAGAGCAGGUGAUGGGAGACACCAUAGAGGUAUAUGUAGCUAAUGAAAGAAAUAGCUGCCAGCCAGUCAAGAGCCCUGGAUCUCAACUGCAAUUCAGUUGACCCUCUGUGGUUAUAUGCAGGUCACCAGCCUGAAAGAAAAUAUGGCCACCUCCAUUUGGCAUGAUUAGCAAUUACACUGGGCAUUAAUCUUUAAUUGCAAACCCAAUUUCUAUGCAUUAACCAUUUUUAUUCCUCUUUAAAGUUAAGAGCUUAAAUUCGUCUGGAGAAGUUAGAAACUUUUCAGAAUGCUUGUAUGUAUAUAUUUGUAUGUAUUAUAUAAAAAUUCCCUUCUCA